GUGGGAAAUCUGCCGAGUAGCGGGGGACAACGUUUGGAAACGAACGCUAAUACCGCAUAACAAUGAGAAUCGCAUGAUUCUGAUUUAAAAGAAGCAACUGCUUCACUACUUGAUGAUCCCGCGUUGUAUUAGCUAGUUGGUAGUGUAAAGGACUACCAAGGCGAUGAUACAUAGCCGGCCUGAGAGGGUGAACGGCCACACUGGGACUGAGACACGGCCCAGACUCCUACGGGAGGCAGCAGUAGGGAAUCUUCGGCAAUGGGGGCAACCCUGACCGAGCAACGCCGCGUGAGUGAAGAAGGUUUUCGGAUCGUAAAACUCUGUUGUUAGAGAAGAACGUUAAGUAGAGUGGAAAGUUACUUAAGUGACGGUAUCUAACCAGAAAGGGACGGCUAACUACGUGCCAGCAGCCGCGGUAAUACGUAGGUCCCGAGCGUUGUCCGGAUUUAUUGGGCGUAAAGCGAGCGCAGGUGGUUCCUUAAGUCUGAUGUAAAAGGCAGCGGCUCAACCAUUGUGUGCAUUGGAAACCGGGGAACUUGAGUGCAGGAGAGGGGAGUGGAAUUCCAUGUGUAGCGGUGAAAUGCGUAGAUAUAUGGAGGAACACCGGAGGCGAAAGCGGCUCUCUGGCCUGUAACUGACACUGAGGCUCGAAAGCGUGGGGAGCAAACAGGAUUA
rnacentral:rRNA from 1 species